CGUCCCUGGCUCUUGCGCCUAGUGCGUGUUAGACGUGAGGCCUCACAGUUGAGAGUUGGUACUGGGUUGUUCCCUGGUUGCUGGAACCGGUUCUGAGGCUCCUCAGAUUUCCUCUCUCUUUUCCCUUCCGGGAGCGGGAGCGAACUUCGCUCUAGGCCUAGUUCUGAACCCGGCCUCUUGCGGAACGCCGCAGGCACGGAAGGGCGGGCUGUGAGCGCGUGGGUCGCAGCUUCUCGGGAGGCGGCGAGUGUGACGGGAGCUCGCGCCGGUCCCGGGGCGGCGGGGCUGCUAAGCUUACUAUCCAUUCCGCGCCCCGGCGAUUAUCCGCUCUGAACGUGUGCAGUCUGGUCUCUUUGGAAUCCCUUCAAGUUCACACUCCAGUGGAGCAGUGGCCGCUAGAGUAGCGACUUCAUACAGGGGUGGGGAACUUUAAAGAAAAGUCAGAGGCCUGUGGCUGCCAGUUUCUGGGGACAGGACUCCUUGUUUGUUAAUAGGACAGAUAAUCAGUGAAUAUUGACGAACUGAUGGAAAACGUUGUCGAUUGCAUUGUGGAGGUAUCUGUGAGUAAACUGGAAUUUAACAAGGCUGACUGCUAAGUGCUGUAGCAUACAGGUUGAAGAAGAGGCGACUUCCUUGUUCUUUCCAGUAGACUGUAAUCUACCAUUUUCAGGAAAAAAAUUUACUGGUCUGUUUUGGGGUAUAUUUCAUUAAGAGUUUCAGUGUGAUGAUGUGGCAUUUGGCAUGAAUGGCUCCAUUUUGGUUUGGUCUGGUCUGUUGGGGCCUAGUACAGGAGCUCAGUCCAAAAUAAUACUCUUAACAUAAUUUUUGUUUAACAGUGCUAAAUUAAUUCAGGAUUCAGAGUAAUCUGGUCCAAUCUCUCCUCAACUGGGGCCCGAAAGGGUUUAUGACUAUUGACUCUUCUGUCUGGUAAAUAAAGGUGUGACUUUCAUUUUAUAACUUAUUCCAGUGUCUCUCCUUGGCAGACUGUCAGCCUUCAUCUCUCCAGUCAUUCUCUUCCUUUGGAGGCCUGUGUGGGACUCCCAGAACUGGAAGUCUGGUGGUUUUCCCCAACACGCCCAGUACUUAGAUAGGCACGCAGAACCAAACCUCUUUUGGCCCUCAGUUCACUCUUCUAAAUUGCCCCAUUAACUUCUAAACCUCUCCCUAGGAGAGGAGCUGUGUUUUAUUCAACUUUGUAUACUCUAAAGCAAUUAGUACAGGUACAUAGUUGGCAAGGACUCCCCUGAAUUAACUUUCUUUUCUUUUUUUGAGAUGGGGUCUCUAUGCAUUGCCCAGGCUGGGCUUGAAUUCAUUCUCCUCUUGCUGCAGCCUCUCAAGUAGCUGGGUUACAGGCAUCACCAUAAACUCAAGUAGCUGGGUUACAGGCUCCAUAAACUUCUGCAAAAUGUAUUACUAAAAUCUAUUGCUUUUUUUUUUUUUUUUGUAGUUGGAUGCAAUACCUUUAUUUUAUUUAUUUAUUUUUCUAUGGUGUUGAGGAUCGAACCCAGGCUGCACAAGUUAGGUGAGCGCUCUACCACUGGAACACAACCCCAGCCCCUCUAUUGUCUUUUAUACUCUGUUUUUCUCCCUUAACAUGAUUACAGUGAACAAAAAAAUUUAAUUAGUACCACUUUGUUCUAUACUAAAUAUGUAAUAUUAUGAUUCUAAUACCAUGACCUGGGUCUGAGUUUUAAAACACUGAGAUAAUUAUAUAUAAAAAUUCACCCAUCUAAAGUGUAAAAUUCAGUGGUUUUAAAUAUAUUCACAGAAUUGUACAAUCAUCACCACUGUCUAAUUCUGGAACAUUUUUUAUUAUUCUGAACACAAGUGACACCCAUUAGCUGUCACUCCGCAUUGCUGUCCUCAUCUCUACCCUUGCAACCACUGUUUUAUUUCUCUAUGUAUUUGCCUAUUCUGGAAUUUCACGUAAAUGGGAUAAUAUAAUAUGUGGGCUUUUAUAUCUGGUUCUUUUACUUUGCAUGAUGUUUUCAAAGAUUCAUCCAUGCUGUGGCAUGUAUUAUUCUUUAAAAUGGCUGAAUAAUAUUCCACUUCAAGGAUAUAUGCCACUUUUUUUUCAGUUUUCAUUUUUUUUCAUUCAUUGGUUGAUGGACAUUUGUAUUGUUUCCACUUUUGGCUAUUAUGAAUAAUGUUGUUAGGAGAAUUCACAUACAGUUUUUUUCUAGGGACAUAUGAUUUCAAUUUUCUUGGGCAUACUCCGAGAUGGAUAAUAUUUAAAUUUUUCAGAAACUGCCACAUUAUUUUCCAAAGUGGUUGCAACAUUUUAUAUUUUCAGUAGCACUGUGUAAGGAGGUUCCAUUUCUUCACACUUGUAAUUAUCUUUCUUUUAAAAUUAUAGCCAUUUUUAGUGUGUUUGAAGUAAUAUCUCAUUGUGAUUUGUAUUUCCCUGAGAAUAUAUAUUAUUUCAGUUCUUAAGAUAUUGUGUUCAACUACAACUAAAAAAAAUUUUUUAAAUGUAUUGAGACUUGCUAUGUGGUCUGUCCUGUAGAAUUCUCCAUGUGUCCUUGAGAAGAACAUGUAUUCUACUGUUGUUGGGUUUGACUCUUCUACUUAUAUGAGUUUUUAGAUGUUCGCUUUUCACCUGGUAAACACUAUUCAUCCUUGGAGAUUGAGGUCCAAAGAAUUUCAUCUAUUUUAUCUUUCUUAACCCAUCUCCCUGUGGAUUAAGAAAGUAAUGUAUAGUUUCCUCAUUUGAACUUCUAUCACUUGCCAGUUUUUAUACCUGUGUUAUAAUCUUUAUUACAAGUCAGUCUUUCUAAACUCUGAUAUUAGGGUUUCUUUGUGCAGGGACUGUUUCUGAUUUCUUCCUCUGAAACUUUAUAUCUGUUGGUAGCUUUAAAGCAUGCCACUGGAUGGAUGAAAUAAUCUAGUGGUCACUGAGGACCUCUUAAACGGUGAGCCUCUUAAACAUAGGCUACGUACUGUGGAGACUGGAGCAGAAGAAAGGCAGUGCAUUCCACCUCUUGGGAAUCUACAGUUUAGUACAGAAAAUAAGAUGUUUACAAGGGAAACCUUAAGACAGGAUUUGACCAAGUGCCAAGAUGGGGGCCCUAGGAGUUUGGCUUGUCUACUUUAUCUUUCUCCCUAUGCAUGAGAAAGAGACUUGUGAGGUAGGAACAACCCUAGAGUCUUCUGGUAUCUGUUCAUCAGCCUCCACUUGGACACUGUCACCCAGAGGGAGAGGCCCCAACACUCCUUAUCAGGACUUGAUGAUGGUUGUUUGCCAACUUUGGGUAGUGAGGAAAAGGCAAAUUGCCUUUUAAUUGUAAUACACCCUUCAAUAUUCUCCAUAAAAGAAACUAUAAGCCCUAAAGAAUAUCUGUAAAGUCAACAGGGAGAGGAAAGCUCUGGUCAUAAGCUCUAACCCUGCUGGAAUAGGUAAAAGGAUGCUUAUAUUACAUUUCAAUUACAGAUGAGGAAAGUCAGAUCGAGCUCACCUGAGAGGGUCACAUCAGGAGGAGCCCAAAGGGGUUGUUUUCAAAGCCUGUUUUUCUCCUAGAGCUCACCUGUUUUUUUGAGGCCUGUCAGGUCUGAGGGCAUGAGACCUGGAGGGGUGGAUUCAUCUCGCAUGCCAGCUAGACACUUUAUUCUUUCUAAUUUGGGACACAAACUGAUGAUUUCUGGGAUAAUUGGGGGGUUCCUGGUGCUUUCUUAUCAGAUACAAUGUGAUGAAGAAGGUGUCAAGCUAGAUUUAAGCUCUUCAGUAACCUGAGAAUAGAAUUAUUUAUGAAGUGUAAGACCUUCAUUUUUAGUAGUACCCAUAAGUAAAGCAGGAGGACAAUACAAGCAGGGACUCAGUUUUACAGAACAGUGGAUUAAAAGGUAUCUUUAUUAUGAUGGUCAUGGACACAUUUAUUGACAGCCAGUUGAGGGCAGAACACUGCUAGGAGAGGGGAACAUCAAACAGACUGAAACUGGAAGGAAUUAGAGCAUUAGAAGAGGCACAGAGCAGGUCUCCUGGUAUAGAAUGGAUUUGAGCAGGGUGGAAAAGUGGGUGAACUUUACAUGGAGAGAAAGGGGAGAACACCAGGGGUCAGCGGGAGGACCAUAGGGGUUGGCAUGUGUAAGAUACACAUUUCAUCAAUGCAGAGUAUACAGAAGGUGGCAAAUUGGACUUUGGUAGGGGUAAGGCACAGGAAAAUUGCUGUGUACGUGUUCACAUAGGUGUGUCAACUUCCAAACAAGAUUAGCUCACUUGGGGCAAAUAAAUGAUCCACAUAACUGUGCUCCAGGCAAUAGCUGAUGACUCAAGUAAUCCUAUGACUUCUCAAAUUUUCUUCCUGAGGAGGUCAGGAAAAGGGGAGAGGGUGGGCCAGGAAUAAUGGGCAAUUCUGGGUGGGUCCAGAUGAGUCACCUCUUCCCCAAUGCUGAUACCAGGAGGCCAGGCACAGAGCCUUUGCUUUGGCUCCUUAUUCUCUUCACUUUCUUCCCAGUCCCAGCUGUCACCUCUUUCACACUUUGAUUUUUCAGAUGGGCUUCUGGAGUGUAGACGCUCUCAUUGUAUAGUUAGGACAAGGGACAGCUUCUUCCUAAGCAUGAAGAUUUCAGAGUCAAGACUAGAAUGGUCUAUUGAACACCAGCCCCUUUCAUCUCCACUCUAUGCUCUGCCAUGUAAUUUUUUUUUCCGAGUCUCUUCAUGCCAUCUGAGAGGCAAAAGGGACAUAGAACAGGCCAUAGGGAAAUUUGAAGGGGCUGUCCUUUGACUGACUGCAAGGUGUUCCAGGGAAUAUGUGUAGAGGUAGAAGGAGUUUGACGCAUUCCUCCCAAAUGUGUCAUAGCUAACAAAAUAUGAAGUAACAGCACCUCUCAGAGGAGCAGAGCUGUAAUGCAGGACACCAGGUGCCCACCUGGUGAGAUGUGGUAAGGUCUUUUGUGUCCUUCCUGCCUCCCACUACAGGUGACACUGUGUUUAAGUUCCAUCCCUGGGCUCUUUCUCUUUUCUGAAAUGUUUUGCUGUUUCUGGCAAACAUCAAACACAGGACCUGUUGGUCUGUUGAACAGUCUGAACUCUCUUGUAUCCCUCUUCAGACUCUUCAAAAUCAGGUACAUUCUGUUUUUCUUUAGUCCCAGUAGAUGUCUAUGAGCAGCUCCAUGUAGGUGAAGAAGGGAACUCUAAUCUCCCUCAAGCCAGUUAAUUCUAAUGUUUUUGUUCUGUAAUAUUUGGAUUGGUGUACCAGAGAUGACUCACAACCCAUGGUUUUCUGAAAGUGAUCCUGGAACUAAAAUUUCCUGAAACAGAAAAGGGAACUCUCAUCAUGGCCAGAUGGAUUCAGAGAUCUGAGGAGACAAGGCUUAAACGGUAAAAGAUGGACUCUUUUACUGUCCCCCACACCCAAGAGAAUUGGCAAAACCUCAUUAAGGAUAUCAGAGAAAUUCUUUUCAGGGAAAAACUUCUUAUGGACCCAUUCAAACACCCCAAGAAUGAAAAUACACAUCUUCCAUCUCUAGAGGAGGUGUGCCUGGGGUCGCUUAAUGCCUGCCUUUUCCAAAUCUUCGCUGCUCUGAUUGUGAUGAAUGAAAAUCUCUCCCUUGCUGCUGCUACAAUGUUAAGAUUUACUAAUGGGACAUUGUGGCGGGCAAUUGCUUCUAUUGUUGGCAGAGAAAUGCCCUCUAAACUGCCUUCCAGUACUCCAGUUGUGGAGGGUCCUACUGGUCAAGUCAUAGUCCAGGGUUUCCUCUCUGCCAGCCCCAGCUGCUGACUGUGGACAGCUCUGGCUGCAGCAACCCAGUAAGCUUCUCUGCCAUCCAGUGGCUGCAGUCACACUCUCCCUAAGAGAUCUGCAUCCUAGCCUUGAAAGGAGCCUCUCCCCUUUCAAGGUAAUGCCUUCCUUAAAUAUUCUCCUGCAUCCCAUGGUAUUUAUUUAGAGUUCUCUUUUAUUCUUUUGUAGUAGUUAUGUCUCUUGAGUUAAUAAGUGAACAACUUCCUGUUCAAAUUACUGUGGUUACUGUCCUGACUCUCCUUCAUGGACCAUGAUGCCCAAAAUGCAAUUAUUCGUGUUAAGAAAUUUCUUUUUAUUAGGUUUUGGUAAGUUCAAAAUCAACUGAACAUGUGGAAAAACAUGGGUCCUUAUAAUACUAGAAAUUAAACAAAAUAAUGCAGUACCAGUUUAUUCAGUCAGAAACCAUGCCUAUGAAUUUUCUACUUAGAAUUGGCUUUAAAUCAUCUUAUGGUUUUAAGGUAGUGAAAUAAAACUCUGGAGACUGAGAUUCUUGGAGAGAGCAAAUUCUCCCCUUUUUCUAAGAGUAUCUGUACCCAAAACAAUCUAAUAGCAGAAAGCGUUCAUCUUUUAAGAUGUUAGGGCCAUUAGCUGUUAGAAAUUCAGUGCCAUCAAAUUAGAAUGGAAAAAGCAGCACCAGUCCAUCUGCUAGAUUCAGGAACUACAUUACUACACACAGAAUGUACAACUAGGAGUGAUUCCAUACUAGGUCUAUUCAAUAGAAGUAAGUGAGCUAUGUAUCAUUUAAAAUUCUCUAGUAGUCACACUAAAAAGGUUAGGAGAAACAGGUGAAAUGAAAGCACAAAAAAUUGAAAAUGUCAUUUCAAGAUGUAAGCAACACAAAAAUAUUGCAAUCUUUUCCAUUCUUGUGCUUGUAUUGUCUUCGAAAUUUGGUGUGUAUUUGUAUUAGGCAGCAUAUUAUUAGUACAAUGAAAUACCUGAGGAAAUUAAUUUUAUAAAGAGAAAAGGUUUUGACUGAUGGUUCUGGAGGUUCAAGUCCAAGAUCAGGUGAUUCCAUUGGUUUGGGUAUCUUGUGAGGGUGGGCAUAUCAUGAAAGGAGUGUGCUAGAGUGAGUAGAACAGGGAAUAGGGCAGGGUCCUACUAUUCCCUUCAAGGGCAUGUCCCCAAUAAUCUAAACCACACCAGUGCUUUCUACUUUUAGAACUUCUCAGUUUGGACGAGUCACUUCUCAAAUUCUCAAUGGCCACAUAAUAGCUAGUGGCUAUCGUAUUGGACAGUGCAGCUCUAGAAUACAAUUUACAUAACUAAUGAGAGUGACAGUCUAGGAGACAGUAUUUAAAAACAAACUAUUACAAAAUCAGACUCUAUUCUGUAACUUUAUUGAUCAUAUUAAUAUUGUAUUAAAAAACCAUUUUCUUUUGUUAGAUAAAAACGUUAUUGAUUACAUGUAUUUUUUCUAGGAAUCAAGAUUUUCAACAUGAAAGAAGUACAAACACAGAAUACCACACAAACACAAAAGUACGACACAGAACUUAGGAACACUGUUGUAAGAAUUAAAUUUUAAGUAUCAUAUGAACUCUCACCCAUAUGUGGAAAAAAGUAUGUAUGUGUUCAGCUCUGUCAGCUGCAGUAGCUCAGUAGCAAAAUCAUUUCAUGAUUCCAUUUUGACUUUAAAAUGCCUUUAUUCUGUUAAUAGGAUCCUUAGAAAAAUGGCAGAUUUUAUGUUUGGGAGCUUGGAGCACUCUUGUGUAUCUGCCAGAAAACAAGGAUGUUUUAAAAAAUUAAUAUGAUUAUCUGAAAACGACCCAGGAACCAACCAAAAGACAGGUUUUAAAAACUGAGAAGUUGUGACAGUUGAAGCAUCAAAAGGAGAAUAUGGCUGUGAAAUACUUGAAGCUGUUAAAAGACAUGAGUUCAUAAGAAUAAGGAAAGCGAAAAGUGGAAAAAAAUAUUCUAAGAACCAGGCAUAGUGACACAUUUAUAGUCCAAGUACUCAGGAGACUGAGGCAGGAGGAUGGCUUGAGCCCAGGAGUUGGAGGCCAGCAGGGGCCAGCCUGUCUUUUAAAAAAGUGUAAGAGAUAGUAGAUGGCUUGUUCCUCAAUCCUGUUGAUGUUAAAUUAUUUAUUAGUAUCAUGGAGAAUACAGAAAUAUUAAAAAUAGCAGUUAAGAGACACUUUUUGACUCGUGGAAUAUUAGAAUGAACCUGUAAAUUCUGAUCUUGAGUCAAUCAAAGUCAGGUAAAAUAUCCAAAAUCUAGUUGGAUCUAAUUUUAAGGAUUCUAAGCAUUUAUGUGGCCCUAUGAAUAUGAAUGAAUAUGCAGUUCUAUACAGUGUUAAUACUGUAAAAUUAAACAGAGACUUUACUAUGGAACAUUAAGUUUAAAGAUCUUGAGGUAUUUAUAUAUCUUUACCCUUAGAUAUAAAUAUGUUUACAUAUCUUAAUAUAGGUACAUUUAUAUAAAGAUUUCAAACUGAUGAACUUGGGUAGGAGCUACAGACUUUUAAGGAGAAAAAAUGGAUAAUAUAUAAGUUGAAUACAGGGAAGUAGCUUAGAUGAUCAUUCCCUUAUUGAUGUAGUUAGGUAUGUAUUUAUAUGGAAGCUUUCUUUUCUGAAGUACUUCAAAGCAAAUCUCAGACAUCAUCAUUCAACCCAGUUAUGUCCCCCUUGAAGUUAUGGAAUCAUUAAUAUAAUUAUAUAGAGAGUCUGGUGUUGCCCAUUGGGGUAUCAGACAAGAUCCUCAGCCUCUUAUAGACACUGUCUGCUAGUAAAUAGGUUCUGGUGUAGUAACUGCCUUCUUAGGUGAGUAAACAUCUUUUAACCUAGAAAGCUUUGGAAUAAAACAAAUACUUAAAAGACCCAUUUGUAUUAAUAUUUUGUGCAUGUUAAGAAGCUAUUUUGUAUAUUUGCUCUUUUAUGUAUUUGUUAAAGAAGGACAAAUUUAGUUGGGGAGAAUGAUGACUCUGUCAAUCCAAUUUGGAAAGUUUGAAGAAUUUAGAUGUUUUUAUUUUAAGGUGAAAUCUUACUAAAUUAUUCUUACUAUUGGAACAUCUAUGUUACUUUUAUUUAUAAGCUUAGUGUAUUGGGUUUAUUAGUAUGAAUUAGUACCAGGAAAGUUUUAAAUUAAAGCUGUUGAAGUACAUGCAGAUAAAUGCUUGAGAUAAAGCAGUCCACCUGGGAGACACAUCCACAAGCACACUGUUCUGAUCCUCAACCCCUUGUCACUUUCUAUGUUGAGAAUGAUAGCAGAGGCCUGCAUAGAAAAGGCUGGCUGGACACCUGUAUGUCCCUUUCAUCUAAUAUAGCCUACAUUGAGGUCCUGCCCCCUGCCCAUCUAAGUCUGAGCAUUUUAUUAAAGGACAAAAUUCAUCCAAUAAGAAAUGUUUGGUGUGCACCUGGGUUCGCUGAACACAUACACGCCCUUUCUUGUGUCACUAGGAGUAAGGGAAACACCCUGUAAGAGCAUUGGAGUGUUGGGAGCCAUCUGCUGGAUCUGAGUAGGCAUGAUUUAUUCUCCAGGAAGUCUUAGGAGACCCCUACUGGACCCUGUAUGCUACUGCAGUCAGAAGAAUUUACCCAGAAGUUCAGAAAAGAUCCUCCAAUCUAAACAGACUAAUAUUCACAUUUUGUGGGGCAAAUUUUCUCAACGUGCAUAUAAAUCACAAACAGUAUACCACUUAAAAACUUCAAAGUUGCAGUGAGAUAGAGCAAGUCUGCAGCAUUAAAAAAAACAAACUUUGCAAUAAACAGGCUUGCAGUGGCCUGAAGCCCUUCCAAGGAUUAAGGUGAACUUGAGCUGCAACUCCACAAUCCACCAGGUUCCAGGUCUCAGGCCCUGUCAACCUAGUCAUCUAGCUGGUGUUUCAGUAGUUUCAUUCCACCCCAAGGGGUUUCUUUUUUGUGUCCCUUUCUUACUAUCAAGUGCUCAUUUAGGUCCUGGGUUCCUCUGCUGGCCAGGGCACCUGGAAUCCAUACAGCAUGCUAUUCUAGCGGGAUACAAGAUCUAUGAAAGGAAUUUCAAGAAAGCUCAGGCGGAAAGAGCCCUAUGACAUUCUCUUGACCAAACAAGCCACAAACAGAACAAAGUGAGCCUGGGUACAAUUCAGAGACCACCAAAGCCUUGUGGCAGCUUAGCGUAGAAAGGAAAGGGGGCUACUGUGUGGGAUUCAAGAUGAACUGAGAGGCUGAGAGGAGAGUUGUGAGUUCAAAGUCAGCCUCAGCAAUGCUAAGUGCUAAGCAACUUAGAACUUUUCUCUAAGUAAAAACUGAAAAGCGGCUGGGGAUGUGGCUCAGUGGUCGAGAUGCCCUGAGUUCAAUCCCUGGUACAAAAAAAAAAGAUGAACUGAAAGACAGCUGCAAGGUUGUUUCACAGGACUGCAGUAAUAUUCCAGAGGCACAGCCUGAGGACUUGUGUGUGAAAUGGGAGACCACUGGGCUCAUACCCACCAUAGUGUUCUUAUGUCCUUACCUUGCUUACCUCUGUAGUUUACUGUGCCCACAAAGAAGGUCCUUCUUUGCCACUGCUUCCCACCAUGUCUUUCUUUCAAAUGUCUUGCAGUGGUAACCCAGUAGUUGGUGUGCAACAGGUUUUAGCAUCUUCCCUAAAAUUCUGAUUCUUGCAUGUAUCACUCUUGGGACACAAUGUGUAAAACCCCAUAAACAUUUCUCCCAUCCCUGAAGUGCCUCAGACUUGGAUCUGAGGCAAUAGAAUAGACUGUUUUGGUUAAUGGAAUUCUUUGACUAAUAAAGGAUAUUUGUAUUCAGGAUAUAUAAAGAUCCCUCUAAAAAUAGUAAGAAAAUCAUGGAUUUAUGAGUUUUUUCUACCUCUGGUCCUGGGAAUUGAGAUUGUGAACUUGAGAGGCUCAUUUUAAAAUUUGUGGGGAUUCUUGAACAAGGUCUGUGGACUUAGGGAUGCCAUUGUGGGUUGACAAACUAAGGAAUUGUCUCUUGCCUCUGUAAAGGAAAAAUAAAAUGGCUUAUGAACUCAUAAUUGUGGCUCAAGGUAGAUAGAAAAGGAUACCCAUAAAAUUACAGGGUUAUCCCAGGAUCUUUGUUCCACAAGAGAGGAACACUCCUUUAGUUGGUCAGGAGAUCCUAGACAUAGGUGGGCACUCAUUAAAAGUUAUUAGUUACAAAUUAAUUAUCUAGGUUGCAAGGUGCAUUCCUAAUGUACCUGUUAUGCUGCUUAGGGUUUGCUUGUCAUGUUAUUAAACAAAUCUCCUUCCCACCUCUUAACUUUUUGAAAGGCUAGAAUUCUUUGUAAUGUCAAAGGACAUGUUUAUAGCCUACUAAAUAUACACUGUAGCAGAACAUCUGUAAAUGGUAGGAAACAAAGAGGAGGGCACUCAUAUUGGUCGUUUAUUCCAAAAGUUCAAGUCUGAAUGGACAGAAACCUUUAACAUUUGACUUUCUGUACAGAAACUAUGACCAUUCUUAUAAACCUUCAGUGUUUUGCUGGGCAUAAACCAUAACCUUUUAAAAAAUGUAUUUUAUCAGAACCCUGCCGCAGUCUGGCUGGGCACAAAUCACGAGCCACUGAAGCAGGAACAAACUAUUUUUGAACUGCAGGAAAACACUUCACACAGCUCCCGGGGAAUCCUCCCGAACGCCAGGUGGCUUGUCCAGGAACCCCCAGCCGGAAAUAUCUCUCCCAGAAAUCCCUCCUCCUGCACUUCCCCAACCAAUGGGAACUCUCGGGGAAUCCCCGGAAAUCCCCACGAGAACUCCAAAAUAGUGCGAGAACUCAAAAGUUGCAGCAGAGGCGGAUAGUAAUGCCUCGCCUGUCAAUCAAAUGCCAGGGGCCAUACAGACUCGGCUGUGGCUCUCAGCAGAACCCCCUUUUUGUUUAAUUAAACAACAAGCAAUGUGGCUUAGGGACCGUGCCUAUUAGGCAGUCCAAUUCAACAUAUGGUCCUUACCCGUCAUCGGAUGAACUGACCUCUAGGCGUCAGCCUCCUGUCUUAGGUUGGUACCACUGCAAUUGGAUCAUACCCGUCACUGACUACCGGUCCAGCAUACAGCCAUACUUGUGGAUAGGCCUUUGCACCAGUGGGGGGGUGAGGUUCUUUGCUUCACCUCUGUUGGCCCCCAAAUUUGGCCUUGGUGCCAGUGGGGGGGUGAGGUUCUUUGCCUCACCUCUGUUGGCCCCCAAAUUUUAGACCAUCACUAGUAGAAGGGAGGAGGAUGCAAAAUGCCAUGACACUAAGCCAAUUGAGGGCUCCUUUGAAAAAUUGUACCACCAGUGACACCAUCAGCAAAAAUACUCCAGCACUACCACAAUUCGCUGCACCAACAGAUAGUUCACAAUGCAUACAAGUGAUACAUAGUCCAGGCAAGUUCUGCAAGCAGUUCAAAGCAGAGGAAUCUGUCAAUAUGUCCAUUUCCUCCCAAAGUAAAUCGACUCCUUGAUUGAGCAUUA